rnacentral:rRNA from 1 species
GAUGAACGCUGGCGGCGUGCCUAAUACAUGCAAGUCGAGCGAACAGACGAGGAGCUUGCUCCUCUGACGUUAGCGACGGACGGGUGAGUAACACGUGGAUAACCUACCUAUAAGACUGGGAUAACUUCGGGAAACCGGAGCUAAUACCGGAUAACAUGUUGAACCGCAUGGUUCAACAGUGAAAGACGGUCUUGCUGUCACUUAUAGAUGGAUCCGCGCCGCAUUAGCUAGUUGGUAAGGUAACGGCUUACCAAGGCAACGAUGCGCAGCCGACCUGAGAGGGUGAUCGGCCACACUGGAACUGAGACACGGUCCAGACUCCUACGGGAGGCAGCAGUAGGGAAUCUUCCGCAAUGGGCGAAAGCCUGACGGAGCAACGCCGCGUGAGUGAAGAAGGUCUUCGGAUCGUAAAACUCUGUUAUUAGGGAAGAACAAAUGUGUAAGUAACUAUGCACGUCUUGACGGUACCUAAUCAGAAAGCCACGGCUAACUACGUG